GAUGAAGAACGUAGCGAAAUGCGAUAAGUAAUGUGAAUUGCAGAAUUCAGUGAAUCAUCGAAUCUUUGAACGCACAUUGCGCCCGCCAGCAUUCUGGCGGGCAUGCCUGUUCGAGCGUCAUUUCAACCCUCGAGCCCCCCCGGGGGCCUCGGUGUUGGGGGACGGCACACCAGCCGCCCCCGAAAUGCAGUGGCGACCCCGCCGCAGCCUCCCCUGCGUAGUAGCACACACCUCGCACCGGAGCGCGGAGGCGGUCACGCCGUAAAACGCCAACUUUCUUAGAGUUGACCUCGGAUCAGGUAGGAAUACCCGCUGAACUUAAGCAUAUCAAUAAGCGGAGGA
rnacentral:misc_RNA from 1 species